rnacentral:rRNA from 1 species
ACAUACGACCACAGGGUGUGGAAAACAGGGCUUCCCGUCCGCUCAGCCGUACUUAAGCCACACGCCGGGAGGUUAGUAGUUGGGUGGGUGACCAC